rnacentral:rRNA from 1 species
GACGAACCGUGCGAACGUUGUUCGGAAUCACUGGGCUUAAAGGGCGCGUAGGCGGGCUGUCAAGUCUGGGGUGAAAUGCCGCGGCUCAACCGUGGAACUGCCUUAGAUACUGACGGCCUCGAGGGAGGUAGGGGCGUGCGGAACUGUAGGUGGAGCGGUGAAAUGCGUUGAUAUCUACAGGAACUCCGGUGGCGAAAGCGGCGCGCUGGACCUCUUCUGACGCUGAGGCGCGAAAGCUAGGGGGAGCAAACGGG